rnacentral:rRNA from 1 species
GACGAACGCUGGCGGCGUGCUUAACACAUGCAAGUCGAACGGUGAAGCGCCUUCCUUUUUGGUGGGUGUGGAUGAGUGGCGAACGGGUGAGUAACACGUGAGUAACCUGCCCCCUUCUUCUGGAUAACCGCAUGAAAGUGUGGCUAAUACGGGAUAUUCUGGGUCUGUCGCAUGAUGGGUCUGGGAAAGAUAUUGUUUCGGUGGGGGAUGGGCGCGCGGCCUAUCAGCUUGUUGGUGGGGGGAUGGCCUACCAAGGCGGUGACGGGUAGCCGGCCUGAGAGGAUGGGCUACAACACUGGUACGAAAAGACCGAGCAGACUCCGGCGGGCAGCAGCUGUGAAGAAUAUGGCAUAGUCGACGCUAUGCUGGUGCGGCGACGCGGCGUGGGAGAUGGAGGCCAUGGGGUUGUAAACCUCUUUGGCCAGUGAAGCAGGCCAGCCUGGUAUGUGGGUGGGUUGACGGUAGCUGGAGAAGAAGCGCCGGCUAACUACGUG